rnacentral:ncRNA from 1 species
GACGCAAGGCUGAAACUUGAAGAAUUGACGGAAGGGCACACCAGGGGUGGAGCCUGUGGCUUAAUUUGAAUCAACACGGGGAAACUUACCAGGACCAGAUGUUUUUUAUGACUGACAGGCUUCGGGUCUUUCAGGAUAUUGUUUUUGGUGGUGCAUGGCCGUUGGUGGUGCGUGGGUUGACCUGUCUAGCGUUGAUUCAGCUAACGAGCGAGAUUAUCGCCAAUUAUUUACUUUGCCGAAGUCCUUCGGUUAAAGUUCUAAUUGGGACUCCCUGCGAUUUUAGCAGGUGGAAGAGGGUAGCAAUAACAGGUCCGUGAUGCCCUUUAGAUGCUCUGGGCUGCACGCGUGCUACAAUGUUAGGAUCAAUAGGACUGCGAGCCUGAGAGGGUGCGCUACUCUUAUAAUCCCUAACGUAGUUGGGAUUGACGUUUGUAAUCAGCGUCAUGAACCAGGAAUCCCUUGUAAAUGUGUGUCAACAACGCACGUUGAAUACGUCCCUGCCCUUUGUACACACCGCCCGUCGCUCCUACCGAUUGGAUGACUCGGUGAAAUCACCGGAUGCUUACGAGCAGAAAGUGAUUAAAUCACGUUAUCUAGAGGAAGGAGAAGUCGUAACAAGGUAACGGUAGGUGAACCUGCCGUUGGAUCAGUU